rnacentral:rRNA from 1 species
AUUGAACGCUGGCGGCAGGCCUAACACAUGCAAGUCGAACGAGUGGCGGACGGGUGAGUCAUGUCUGGGCAACUGCCUGAUGGAGGGGGAUAACUACUGGAAACGGUAUCUAAUACCGCAUACCAUCAGAUGUGCCCAGAUGGGUUUAGCUAGUUGGUGGGGUAACGGCUAACCAAGGCGACGCUCCCUAGCUGGUCUGAGAGGAUGACCAGCAACACUGGAACGGAGACACGGGCCAUACUCCUACGGGAGGCAGCAUGGGGGAAUAUUGCACAAUGGGGGCAAGCCUGAUGCAGAAAUGCCGGGUGUAUGAAGAAGGCCUUCGGGUUGUAAAGUACUUUCAGCGGGGAGGCGUUACCCGCAGAAGAAGCACCGGCUAACUCCGUGCCAGCAGCCGCGGUAAUAC